UAGGCCGUGCUUUGUGCCGGUAUGAUUCUCCUCAAGUCCACUUGAUUGUGGCUUCAGGCCCAGAGAGGGUGUAAGGCCCGUGGAGGCGAGUCGUCCGGUGCCCGGCACGUCCUUAGAGUCGGGUUGUUUGGGAAUGCAGCCCAAAGCGGGUGGUAAACUCCAUCCAAGGCUAAAUACUAGCACGAGUCCGAUAGCGAAGAAGUACCGCGAGGGAAAGUUGAAAAGAACUUUGAAGAGAGAGUUCAAGAGUACGUGAAACCGCUGAGAGGCAAACUGGUGGAGCUGAAAUGGUCUUUAGGAAUUCAGCCCUUCCUGCUAGAGUUGACGUUGGAUGUGAGAUCUCACGACUCCGCCGGCGGCAUCUUCGUGCGGGAUAGGUGCACUUUCCUGUUGAUCGGACCACGACCAGCGACUUGUCUUGUCUGGCAUAAGUCGGAAGGUGGCGUUGGCCUCGGCGAACGUGUUAUAGCCGCUUAUUCGGGCUGAGCAAGGCGUUGGAAGGGAUCGAAGUCGCCUGCCCUUUGGGCUCGUACGUUGUCACUUUCAGGCGUGUCGCCGGCUUCACUGCCUUUGGCAGGGGUGUUGGAGACGUGUCGGUUAGGGUCGGCCUCUGCGAUUGGCGUCGAAAGUCUGUGGUUGUGAAGUAGGCAGUCCACCUGACCCGUCUUGAAACACGGACCAAGGAGUCUAACAUGUGCGCGAGUCAUUGGGCUCUACGAAACCUAAAGGCGCAGUGAAAGUAAAGAUCCAUUCUGAUGGAUUGAGGUGGGAUCCUGAGUCACGUGCUCGGGCGCACUACCGGCCCGUUCGACAUGUCUUCAUGCGGGCGGAGCAAGAGCGUACACGUUGGGACCCGAAAGAUGGUGAACUAUGCUUGCGCAGGUCGAAGCCAGAGGAAACUCUGGUGGAGGACCGUAGCGAUUCUGACGUGCAAAUCGAUCGUCAAACGUGAGUAUAGGGGCGAAAGACUAAUCGAACCAUCUAGUAGCUGGUUCCCUCCGAAGUUUCCCUCAGGAUAGCUGGCACUCGGGAAACGAAACAGUUUUAUCCGGUAAAGCGAAUGAUUAGAGGUAUUGGGACGAAACUGCUCUCAACCUAUUCUCAAACUUUAAAUGGGUAAGAUGCCCGACUCGCUCAA
rnacentral:rRNA from 1 species